UACGGAAGGCAGCAGUGGGGAAUAUUGCACAAUGGGCGCAAGCCUGAUGCAGCCAUGCCGCGUGUAUGAAAAAGGCCUUCGGGUUGUAAAGUACUUUCAGUCGUGAGGAAGGUGUUAAGGUUAAUAACCUUAGCAAUUGACGUUAGCGACAGAAGAAGCACCGGCUAACUCCGUGCCAGCAGCCGCGGUAAUACGGAGGGUGCGAGCGUUAAUCGGAAUUACUGGGCGUAAAGGGCACGCAGGCGGUUAAUUAAGUUGGAUGUGAAAUCCCCGGGCUUAACCUGGGAAUGGCAUUCAAGACUGGUUAGCUAGAGUCUUGUAGAGGGGGUAGAAUUCCAUGUGUAGCGGUGAAAUGCGUAGAGAUGUGGAGGAAUACCGGUGGCGAAGGCGGCCCCUGGGACAAAGGACUGACGCUCAUGUGCGAAAGCGUGGGGAGCAAACGAGGGAUUAGACUACC
rnacentral:rRNA from 1 species